rnacentral:lncRNA from 1 species
CCAAGGCGGAGAAGAAGCCGGCGGCGAAGAAGCCCGCGGAGGAGGAGCCCGCGGCCGAGAAGGCCCCGGCGGGGAAGAAGCCCAAGGCGGAGAAGCGCCUCCCCGCGGGCAAGUCUGCCGGCAAGGAGGGCGGCGACAAGAAGGGCAAGAAGAAGGCCAAGAAGUCGGUGGAGACCUACAAGAUCUACAUCUUCAAGGUGCUCAAGCAGGUGCACCCCGACAUCGGCAUCUCCUCCAAGGCCAUGUCCAUCAUGAACUCCUUCAUCAACGACAUCUUCGAGAAGCUCGCCGGCGAGGCCGCCAAGCUCGCCCGCUACAACAAGAAGCCCACCAUCACCUCCAGGGAGAUCCAGACGUCGGUGCGCCUCGUCCUCCCAGGCGAGCUCGCCAAGCACGCCGUGUCCGAGGGCACCAAGGCCGUUACCAAGUUCACCUCAUCUUAGAUUGGAUGGUGUAGGUAGAUGUGGCUCGGUUCGGUUUAUGUGAUAUUGCUACCUGUAGUAGUAGCUGGUGGGGGUUCGAAAUGGUUGGAUGUUGAUCUAUGUGUAGAUGGAUUGUGGUAAGAAUUAUGGUGGUGCUUUUGGAACCCUGUUUCAUGAUCCAGAAUAGUCACAGUGCUUGUUCUAUUUUUGAUUUGUCAGGAUGGAUGCUCUUAAUGUGUAGUUAUCAUGUUGCUGACAGUGAACUGAUGAUUCCAUGUGCAAAGCUUUAUGUCAAGUCUGGAGCAAGCGUGUUGUGCAUUUGAUGGUUGCUAGCUAAAGUAUCUCAGUGUGUUGAGGUGGGAAAUGUUAUCCAAGUGUCGUAAAGUUGGAUAUCAUAUUAAGGUUUGUUGACACAUUUGCCAGGAGGGAAUGAACAUGCACAGGCAAUUUAGGCGUCAUUUCCUCUCUGGAAGCUUGAUAGUGUAGGAAGUUGUGAUCUAUGGACAAUGUCAUGGCAAUUGCUGUUCUGCUAAUCUGAGUUCUGAGCUUCUGAGCUUCAAAUUCUGAUAUCAAUGGUAAAUCUACUUGAUAUUUAGAAUAUUUCUGUUGUCAUUGAGGAACAUGUAGAAAAGAUAUGCUGUUUUUUUGGGUUGCAAGUUGGCUAGCACUAGAACCCAUGUAUAGGCUGGGCAUCCCUACUUGUUUGGCUCCUGUUAUCUCAGGUUCAUAUUCGAGCAGCAUGUUUGUUGGUCAUUCUUCUGAAUCCCAGCUGCAUGGAGCCUUCCAUUUCUUGCAAGCUAUCCUUAAAAAAAACAAGAUAGCUGGUAAGUUAUCAUCCUGUCCAAGUCCAACCUUCAGCAUUGAUGUUCAUUGUUAUUCAUUUUGCAGAGAUGUCUUUCCAGCCACUGAUGUUCUUCUAUCAGCUAAAUUCCAGGAGUACUAUUUUUUGUGUUAUUCAUCGUGACUGUGUCAUGCACUGACUAAUGCUUCAUCUGGGGUGUUAGGCCAUGUUUAGUUCGGGUUGGAAAAAAUUUCGUGACACUGUAGCAUUUUCGUUUGUUUGUGGUAAAUAUUGUCCAACUACAGACUAACUAGGCUCAAAAGAUUUGUCUCGUAAAUUUCGACCAAACUGUGCAAUUAGUUUUUAUUUUCAUCUAUAUUUAAUACUUCAUGUAUGUGUCUAAAGAUUCGAUGUCACAGGGAAUCUUGAAAAAUUUUGAGUGUUGGGGUGGAAGUAAACAAGGCCUUACUUGGAGUUGGAGCAUGAUGAGCAAGCCCAAUGACAUGAUCCAAAUAUUUCUAAAUUAUUAUUGGUGCAAUCCUUGGAUUAUGCGCUUAUCCAUAUUGCCAUAUUGUUGGUUUUGAACUCUGGAUGUUACCUGUUUUGAUAUUGUUGAUAAAAUUUCUGUGGUUACUUUGUUUUUUGGUUAAGCUUUUAAGUGGUUGAUUGGAACUUGUGGUCAUUAGUUAGAAAUAUAGUGUGCCUGUUAUGUUGAAGCAUGGUGAAAUGUGUUUACUUCUGGAACUGUGUAAGUUCUGGAGUAAGAGUAAUUAUGGUUCCUACGGCUUACAUUUAUAUAGUUACUACUUGCAACGGAAUGAUUUUAUCUGGACCUCAAAUAUAUCUUCUGAUUUUUUUUGGCCAUCGCACUGCUUUGUGGAAUUGAAGCUGAAAUUGAAGCUUUCAAGGAUAGAGAGAGUACGAUGUACUUACUGUUCGCUAAAUCGUUUUUGUGGCCAAUGUUGAUUUGUUACAAGAGAAAAACGUUGUUCUGUGCCUAGAAAAGUAUGGUUGAUUCUGGCUAAUAAGUUCAAAUGUUAUUUUAGUAAAUGCUGAGAAUGUAUAUUGCAGUAAUAUUAUUAGUAUAUUACACAUUUACACUAGACAGUUACUGGCUGUUUUCUUUUAUAUAAAAGUUGCAUAAUGGUUGUAUAAUAAAGUACUAUUCCCUUCGUUCUAAUUGAUAAGAUAUUUUAUUUUUAAGAUUUAUAUUAUUUUUAUUAUGCAUCUAAAUAUAGUUUAUAUCUAAUUGCAUAGCAAAAGCCAAAACAGUUAAGCAAAAAAAACUAUAUAUAAUUUUUGAAAUGGAGGAGGUGUAUUCUGUAGGAGUAUCACAUUAGACAGUUGGACCAGGCCGAAACCAACUGCUAAGAGAAAGGCCGACCGGCCCACCCCACUCUGCGCGCUGAAAGCCAGUUCCCUCCGUCUCCUCCCGCCCUAUGCUCUGACCACCUCAACUAUCCGCGCCAAAACCCAUCUCCACCGUCCAUUUGCGACAGGAUCAACACAUCGCAGCCAUCCACGUCAGCCAUCCGCGGCACCGGCCCUUCCACCAAUCACCACCAGCUGCUCCGUCCCGUUAAAUUCGCCGCACCCCUCUCCUCUUUCUCCAUCGAAAUCGACCGAGCGAAAGCGAAUCCCUCCCCGCCGCAGCCUCACAUCGCACGCCACCGCGAAACCCCAGCAGCCGCAUCCAUCCAUGGCGCCCAAGGCGGAGAAGAAGCCGGCGGCGAAGAAGCCCGCGGAGGAGGAGCCCGCGGCCGAGAAGGCGCCGGCGGGGAAGAAGCCCAAGGCGGAGAAGCGCCUCCCGGCGGGCAAGUCGGCCGGCAAGGAGGGGGGCGACAAGAAGGGCAAGAAGAAGGCUAAGAAGUCGGUGGAGACCUACAAGAUCUACAUCUUCAAGGUGCUGAAGCAGGUCCACCCCGACACCGGCAUCUCCUCCAAGGCCAUGUCCAUCAUGAAUUCCUUCAUCAACGAUAUCUUCGAGAAGCUCGCCGGCGAAGCCGCCAAGCUCGCGCGCUACAACAAAAAGCCCACCAUCACCUCCAGGGAGAUCCAGACCUCCGUCCGCCUCGUCCUCCCCGGCGAGCUCGCCAAGCACGCCGUCUCCGAGGGCACCAAGGCCGUUACCAAGUUCACCUCAUCUUAGGUUGGUGGCAGUAGCUACUGGGUGGCGUUGGUAGAUGUCGCCCAGUUUAUCUAGUACUGAUAGUGGUAGCAGUAGUGGUUGGAUGUUGGAGCUGGGAAUGGAUUGAUGGUCUGGGUGCAGUUGGGUUUUGGUAA